GAUGAACGCUGGCGGCGUGCUUAACACAUGCAAGUCGAACGGAAAGGCCCAAGCUUGCUUGGGUACUCGAGUGGCGAACGGGUGAGUAACACGUGGGUGAUCUGCCCUGCACUUCGGGAUAAGCCUGGGAAACUGGGUCUAAUACCGGAUAGGACGAUGGUUUGGAUGCCAUUGUGGAAAGUUUUUUCGGUGUGGGAUGAGCUCGCGGCCUAUCAGCUUGUUGGUGGGGUAAUGGCCUACCAAGGCGUCGACGGGUAGCCGGCCUGCGAGGGUGUACGGCCACAUUGGGACUGAGAUACGGCCCAGAGUCCUACGGGAGGCAGCAGUGGGGAAUAUUGGACAAUGGGCGCAAGCCUGAUGCAGCGAGGCCGCGUGGGGGAUGACGGCCUUCGGGUUGUAAGCUCCUAUCGCUAGGGACGAAGCGUUUUUGUGACGGUACCUGGAGAAGAAGCACCGGCUAACUACGUG
rnacentral:rRNA from 1 species